rnacentral:rRNA from 1 species
UACGUAGGGGGCAAGCGUUGUCCGGAUUUAUUGGGCGUAAAGAGCGUGUAGGCGGCCAGGUAGGUCCGUUGUGAAAACUCGAGGCUCAACCUCGAGACGUCGAUGGAAACCAUCUGGCUAGAGUCCGGAAGAGGAGAGUGGAAUUCCUGGUGUAGCGGUGAAAUGCGCAGAUAUCAGGAGGAACACCGGUGGCGAAGGCGGCAUCCUGGACCGAGAUUGACGCUGAGGCGCGAAAGCCAGGGGAGCAAACGGG